rnacentral:rRNA from 1 species
UACGAAGGGGGCUAGCGUUGCUCGGAAUCACUGGGCGUAAAGCGCGCGUAGGCGGACCUGCAAGUCGGGGGUGAAAGCCCGAGGCUCAACCUCGGAACUGCCUUCGAUACUGCGGGUCUCGAGUCCGGGAGAGGUGAGUGGAAUUCCUAGUGUAGAGGUGAAAUUCGUAGAUAUUCGCAAGAACACCAGUGGCGAAGGCGGCUCACUGGCCCGGUACUGACGCUGAGGUGCGAAGCGUGGGGAGCAAACAGG